rnacentral:lncRNA from 1 species
AUUCUAGUGUUGUUUUAGGCUUCUAAGUUUGAUUGUUAUUGUUUGUGGAAUUUAGACUUAAUCUUUAUGCAUUUUCAUGUAAUUUCCUUUAUCUUUAAUAUAAUGAGCUUAUUUUUUAUAUUUGAUGCCUUUGUUGAGGGGGAGCUCAUUUUAAGGGGGAGAUUUUUCUUUCAUUAUUCUUUUUGCUUCUGAUCAAAAAAGGGGGAGAAGAAAUUUAUUAAGGGGAGAAAUAAACUUGAACAGGUACUGCUAACUUUGUGGUUGUUUUUAGUUUGUAUGUACUGCAGGUAAAACUGAGUAGCUUUUAAAAGAGGAUUUUUGAUCAUCAUCAAAAAGGGGGAGAUUGUUACCAAUAAGGGAGUAUUGGUAAAACCUGAAGACAAGUUUUGAUGAUGCUGCAAAUUGUAAUUCUUGAUUGUAAUAGGAGAAUACUUAAAAAGC